rnacentral:rRNA from 1 species
UUCACUACGGAAUAGCUCCGGGAAACUGGAAUUAAUACCGUAUACGCCCUCCGGGGGAAAGAUUUAUCGGUGAAAGAUCGGUCCGCGUUAGAUUAGAUAGUUGGUGGGGUAAUGGCCUACCAAGUCUACGAUCUAUAGCUGGUCUGAGAGGAUGAUCAGCCACACUGGGACUGAGACACGGCCCAGACUCCUACGGGUGGCAGCAGUGGGGAAUCUUGCACAAUGGGCGAAAGCCUGAUGCAGCCAUGCCGCGUGAAUGAUGAAGGCCUUAGGGUUGUAAAAUUCUUUCGCUAGGGACGAUAAUGACGGUACCUAGUAAAGAAACCCCGGCUAACUUCGUGCCAGCAGCCGCGGUAAUACGAAGGGGGCUAGCGUUGUUCGGAAUUACUGGGCGUAAAGCGCGCGUAGGCGGACUAUCAAGUUGGAUGUGAAAUCCCAGGGCUCAACUCUGGAACUGCAUUCAAAACUGGUAGUCUAGAGGCCAGGAGAGGUCAGUGGAAUACCGAGUGUAGAGGUGAAAUUCGUAGAUAUUCGGUGGAACACCAGUGGC